GACCUUUCUGUCUUAAUCAUAUGCUUUGAACGGAUUUCAGAGACCAUGGAGGAAAGUAGUUGCUCCAGAGAAUGAGAGUGGAGGAGGGGGAGUUUUCACUCAGAGUCGUCAGAGAAGAUGUUUCCCUGGGACUUUUGAGGAAGCCUGGAGCUGAGUGAUUGAUUUGCAAAAUGAAAUGGAGAAGUCAAGAUAAGCUUACAUAACAGCUAUGGCAUCAUCUGACAAGUUCACCUGAAGGUCAUCUGUGUAAAGAAUGUCACUUUCCUUGACCUGGUGUUCACCGGAACCCUUGAUGACAUUUACAACUUUGUAAGCAUAGACAUGGAUUUGUAGGAAACCAGCAAGCUGCUCAGCAGAGAAGUGAGGAUGAGCCUCCAACCCACAAACUUUGCUCCUUACGACUAGUGAUUUCUGACUUUGUGGGUGGGGGUGGGGUGGGGAAAUCUGUGCUUGUUGAUGUAGCUGUGGUUAUACUCUAUCAAUCUCAUUACAGAUUUCUUUUCCUUUUCUUCCACUAACUCUAUUAUACAUUGGUCAGUAUGUUUCAGGAUAGUGAACCAGCAAGAUAAACUGGCUUUCCAGCUAGAUGAUUUUUUUAGUAAGUUCCGUAAAACCUUGAUUAUCUGCAUGAGAAUUAUGAUGUUUGUAAGAUUUUGUAAAUUAUGUGUAUGAGAACUAUCUGAUACCCUUUUUCUUGAAUUAUUAUAAUAGCUAUCAACAGGUUUCCUUCCUUCUAAUCAUCCAUGCCCUAACUCCAUAUCAAUCUGGUAUCCCACUGUUAUUUUAUUUAUUUAUUUAAAAAAAAUCCUCGCCUGAGGAUAUUUUUCCAUUGAUUUUUAGAGAGAGUAGAAGAGAGAGAGAGAGGGAAAGAC